rnacentral:rRNA from 1 species
UACGAAGGGGGCUAGCGUUGCUCGGAAUUACUGGGCGUAAAGGGCGCGUAGGCGGAUAGUUUAGUCAGAGGUGAAAGCCUGGGGCUCAACCCCAGAAUUGCCUUUAAGACUGCAUCGCUUGAAUCCGGGAGAGGUGAGUGGAAUUCCGAGUGUAGAGGUGAAAUUCGUAGAUAUUCGGAAGAACACCAGUGGCGAAGGCGGCUCACUGGACCGGUAUUGACGCUGAGGUGCGAAAGCGUGGGGAGCAAACAGG